AAAAAUUCCUAUUUCUAUAGGCUGCAAUUUACUUGACAAAAUAUCUGUUGGGUGAUUGGAAAUUACCUUUACUCCACUAAGGAGAGAGCAUAUCUGAAAUGAUUAUGGGAUUUCCUUUUCAUCCUAUCUUUCUCUUUCUCUGUUACCUUUCUUUGGUAAAGAAAUAAUUGAAGGUAGACAAUUUUAAACUUUGCUUCUUCAUCCUCUUGCCUCUUAAUAUCACCCAAUUGCCUAUAUUUCAUUUGUUCCUUUCUCCUUCCUUACAAAUAAAUUGCUGGCUUACUUGUUCUGAUUGAACUUGUGUUCUCUAAUCUUGGUUUUAUUUUUGUGUUAUAGACUCCAACAAUUUUCAGGCAAAGAUCGAUGAAGAAAUCUCCGGUAUAUCCAAACUACGAGGCAAGUGAUUAUGGUGGCUAUGAGUUUGAUCCUCAAGUGGAUUUUACGCAGGUAAACACCUGUAUGCACUUUUAUUUCUCCUCUGGCUCUAUGUUUUUCUUGUCUGCCACCUUACUUUCUUUUUGUUGGAGCAACUACAGUAUCUUCAAAUAACAGUUAACAGAAUUUAAUCACAUUAUCAAUGAAUACCCAUAAUUCUCUCUUCACAAGAAGGAAAAGUACUUGUUUGUUGCAUAUGCUAAUGAAUCAUUAUUGUCUCAACUUUUUGAUGUGAUAUGAAGACAGACCAUAGAUGUACUCUGCUGCUGUUUGAACUAUUCUGAUUUUGAUGUUUCAAUGAUGUUGUACCAUUUACUUGGAGGCAUGUCCAAGUAGUAGUUGGCAUAGAGUGGACACAUGGAAGGCUUCCUAGAGGGUCUUCUACAAGUUACUUUGUUCAUUUUAUCUGUUUUUGUGGGUUGAUCAGUUCUUGGAAGAAGCAAGGCAGCAUGCAAGACAAAUGAAUCUCCAGACCUCACUGCCGCAUGCUGAAAAAGCUGGAAUAAUAAGAACAGGAGAAGAGAAAAAGAACAAAAAAUCCUGGAAAAAGUCUCUUCUCAAAUGGUGGAAAUCUGAAAAUAAAAGGAGUGAGGCUCGCACAGAACCUGCAAAUAGCUCUCAUAGUUCGAAUCCAAGAAAGGGACAUGUUUCUGGUCCAAUACAUGGGAGCAGCAGGGCUGUUGACACAAAGCACCGACGACAGACAUCUGGGCCACUUACUAACCUGUUCAAUCCUACAAAGAAAAGAGGGAAUGAGAUACCAUACAUGUGCCUUGAUCAACUUAACAAUCCUCACGGUGACAAAGCCUAUGGACCUGUUUACUUGGUGACAUAAGUGUUUCGACAACAAAAAUGUACAAGGGAAAAGUUUUUCUGGUGGAGAAUGGGGAAUUAUUGUGGAAAGAAGGUGCAUAAGAUCAUUUGAAUAGGCAGAAACAUUCAGUAUCAGACCAGCUGUAAUGUGCAUACAGUUGGAUUAUCUUAAAGAUCUUGUGCUGAAGAUUAUCUGUUCUUUCUGUUGUUGUUUACUUAGUUACAUGUAAUGUUCAGAAUAACUAUUAUGUGUGGUCUAAUGAAUUUUUAAUCUCACAUUUCUGCUUUCUUGGCG
rnacentral:misc_RNA from 1 species